AGUGAACGCUGGCGGUAGGCCUAACACAUGCAAGUCGAACGGCAGCACAGUAAGAGCUUGCUCUUACGGGUGGCGAGUGGCGGACGGGUGAGGAAUACAUCGGAAUCUACUUUUUCGUGGGGGAUAACGUAGGGAAACUUACGCUAAUACCGCAUACGACCUACGGGUGAAAGCAGGGGAUCUUCGGACCUUGCGCGAUUGAAUGAGCCGAUGUCGGAUUAGCUAGUUGGCGGGGUAAAGGCCCACCAAGGCGACGAUCCGUAGCUGGUCUGAGAGGAUGAUCGGCCACACUGGAACUGAGACCCGGUCCAGACUCCUACGGGGGGCAGCGGGGGGGAAUUUUGGCAAAGGGGGCCAACCCUGAUCCAGCCAACCCGGGGGGGUGAAGAAGGCCUUCGGUUUGAAAAGCCCUUUUUUUGGGAAAAAAAAGCAGCAGGUUAAUACCCCGCUGUUCUGACGGUACCAAAAGAAUAAGCACCGGCUAACUUCGU
rnacentral:rRNA from 1 species